ACUCCUACGGGAGGCAGCAGUGGGGAAUAUUGCACAAUGGGCGCAAGCCUGAUGCAGCCAUGCCGCGUGUAUGAAGAAGGCCUUCGGGUUGUAAAGUACUUUCAGCAGUGAGGAAGGUGGGUAUGUUAAUAGCAUAUUCAUUUGACGUUAGCUGCAGAAGAAGCACCGGCUAACUCCGUGCCAGCAGCCGCGGUAAUACGGAGGGUGCGAGCGUUAAUCGGAAUUACUGGGCGUAAAGCGCAUGCAGGUGGUUUGUUAAGUCAGAUGUGAAAGCCCGGGGCUCAACCUCGGAAUUGCAUUUGAAACUGGCAAACUAGAGUACUGUAGAGGGGGGUAGAAUUUCAGGUGUAGCGGUGAAAUGCGUAGAGAUCUGAAGGAAUACCGGUGGCGAAAGGCGGCCCCCUGGACAGAUACUGACACUCAGAUGCGAAAGCGUGGGGAGCAAACAGGAUUAGAUACCCUGGUAGCCUCUGC
rnacentral:rRNA from 1 species